rnacentral:rRNA from 1 species
UGGGGAAUUUUGGACAAUGGGCGAAAGCCUGAUCCAGCAAUGCCGCGUGUGUGAAGAAGGCCUUCGGGUUGUAAAGCACUUUUGUCCGGAAAGAAAUGGCUCUGGUUAAUACCUGGGGUCGAUGACGGUACCGGAAGAAUAAGGACCGGCUAACUACGUGCCAGCAGCCGCGGUAAUACGUAGGGUCCAAGCGUUAAUCGGAAUUACUGGGCGUAAAGCGUGCGCAGGCGGUUGUUCAAGACCGAUGUGAAAUCCCCGAGCUUAACUUGGGAAUUGCAUUGGUGACUGCACGGCUAGAGUGUGUCAGAGGGGGGUAGAAUUCCACGUGUAGCAGUGAAAUGCGUAGAGAUGUGGAGGAAUACCGAUGGCGAAGGCAGCCCCCUGGGAUAACACUGACGCUCAUGCACGAAAGCGUGGGGAGCAAACAGG